rnacentral:misc_RNA from 1 species
CAAAACACGCGAGCUCACAAAUAUUGGGUAAGUACCGCCCCACUGUUUACAAUAGACCACUUCACAAUGGUAAACAGUGCUGCUCCGCACAGAAAUAAGUACAUAAGGUGCUAAGCUGACGAAUAGUAUGGGCCAUGCCAUACACUGCAGCGCAGCAGAUUACUGAAUACGAGCUAGCCAUCUCAAAGAGGUACACGUGUAGUUGAUACGUCUCGCACGCGAAAAGUAAUAUCUGACAGAUUGGAUGAUCGCGUACAGAGAUCUUAGCACCUUACCCGGAAGUGGUCGUCACGGCCUGUUGACUGUCGAGGUUUGUUGUCACACGGUGAACUCCGGGAGGUGAGAGGUGAGAGAUGGUGGCCUGCAACAUACUACCUGUGUCGGAACACGACGGGACGUGUGUGUUUCCUUAAUGCCUAUAGGAUUUAACAGGGUGCCAUGGCCCCAUGUGGAGUGAGACUCGGGGGGACGGGCCUUUCUUGUCACACCUGUGCGGUUUUCAUUGUGUGUGCUCUCUUGUGUAUUGCGCGUUCUCAGACAUCGCUGGAGAAGGGCGACAUACUCAUUGUCAACACUGGGAUCCAGGUCCCUUUCGGACGGACUGUUUAUUUGGACCCAGUCAACGAGUUACGACUGUCGGUCAGACCGGGGCACAGGUGUGUUGUCACUGUGUUGGACAAUGACCCUUUGUCCCAGCGGCCGGGGAGACUGCUCCCCUCCGAUCACUUCCCAUGCACAUUCGGACCGAGGGAUGUACAAUAUACACACUUCGGCGCACGUGUUCCCGUGGAGGAUACGAUCAGACUACUUAUCAGGUACGACACUGAUAUAGAAUCUCACAUUAUUCCUUUCACUAUCCAUGUAUCUGUCACAUUUGUACAGUUGGAGGUUGUCACAAAAAACCUGCCACUGUCAGCCUCUGUGGGCGCCGUGUCCAACUCCAUCAACAGGAAAAAUACAGAGUUUACUUACGACAGAGCUAACCAGGUGUGUCGACUCACUGUUAUAGGAGCCUCCAGUGGGCUUCCGCGGUUCGGGAUAGUCGCAAAUGGUACAACUGUACCGACAGAUAUAGAAUGUGACCAAUUUCAACAAAUGGGAAUAAAAUACAGAUACUCUAAUAAAAACAACUCCCCAAACAAAGAUUAUAUUCCGAUGGUAGUUGAGUUAUUAGAUGAAGAUGGAGCUAUAAUGAAACAAGAGUAUUUCCAUAAAGUGGUAACGAUAACUGGAGCUCGGACGAACCGUAAGCCCCGUCCAUCGUAUAAUGCAUUCCUAGUGAUGGAAGUGAGUAAUGGUAACGCUAUUGACCAGUUUGUGAUGACUGCGAUCCCCCCGACCGUUCUGGCCGCCGAGGACUUAGAAACACCAAUGGAAUUAGUAGUUUUCAACAUUACAGGACCUCUGGGAGCUGGUCAGGGUCAAAUUGUAAGUACUGACGACAGAGAUCAACCUAUUCAUUCCUUUUACCAGAGAGAUGUUAUUGAUCUGAAAAUAGCCUAUAAACCACCUUCCAUAGACUCAAAUACACCCCGAACCUUUACGGUAGAAUUCCAGGUCAUAGAUUUGGACGGAGCAAAAUCGGACCCCUUUCCUUUAAUCAUAGUUGUCAACCCGAUGAACACCCUGUCCCCUGUGGUCACUCUUAACACGGGUAUACAGUUGUAUGAAGGUCAGUCUAGACAACUUCUUAGCUCUCAAAAUCUUCAGAUUUCUGACGAGAACAAUUUAGAAAAAGUAAAAAUAUUCAAAGCGGAUGGAGCGAGACAUGGUGAACUAAGAAUACCUGGUAGCAGAGAGUAUUUUACAGCAGAUGAUCUAGAUAAAGGCCUCGUGGUUUAUCAACACGACGGCAGCGACACCAACAGUGACAAUAUCGUGUUCCGGAUGACCGAUGGUCAACACCAUGUAGAGUUUCUUUUCCCUGUCACGAUUUACCCCGAGGACGAUGAGCCUCCCUUUGUAACUAGUAACACUGGAUUAGAAAUUUAUAAAAAUCAAUUAGCAGAAAUCUCCCAGUUUAAGUUGAGUGCUACAGAUAUUGAUAGUGAUGAUUCAGAGAUAAACUUUAUAUUGGAGCCCCCAUAUUCCAAACAUGGUAAAAUCAUGGUACGACAAUUCCAAGUCCCGAGGGACCCACAGAACUGGCUCUAUAAUAACGGUGUGUACGAACAAGCGGUGUAUCAGUUCACCCAACAGGAUAUCCUGGACGGCAAAGUGUUCUACAAACACACGGCCUCCCACCGAUCAUCUUACGUCACUGACAACAUCAAGUUCAGUCUGGAGGACAGACAUGUACCACCCAACAAGUCGUACCAGCCCUACGCAUUCGUUGUGCAGGUACUUCCUCUGGAUGAUCAGCCUCCGUACCAACACCUCAAUACCAAACUAAAAAUGAAGGUAGAAGAGUUUCAGAUGACAACUAUCAAACGUAAACAGCUACGAUAUACCGAUGAUGACACCAACGAUCGCCAGCUGCAAUACAGAGUUACAUCCCCUUUGUUUGAUACAGAUCAGAACACUCCUUUAAGCGCAGGUAACAUUGUUCUUUGUGAAAACCCUGGUGUUCCCAUCUCAACGUUCACACAAUCCCAGGUGAACCACCAGAAAGUCUGCUACCAGCCACCCAGUGCCGAGCUCGGCAUCACCGCAAGAAUUAUCCAGUUUGGGUUUUCUGUGACCGACACAAACGGCAACGUCCUUGCUGAUCAACGUUUUACAAUUACUCUUCAGCCUAUUGAUAAUCAACCCCCGCGGGUUACCAACACUGGAGCAACUGUUUUAGAAAAUGGAUUAGUGACCUUGACCUCACAAAAUCUAGAUGUGAUUGACCCGGAUACGGAUGAUGAAGAUAUUCGUUUUAUUGUGUCGACUCUUCCUGACUAUGGUGAGGUGAGGAAAGGUGAGCAGACUGUUGUUGUCGGGGACUCCUUCAAUAAACAUGAUAUCAACCGUGGAAGAAUGGUGUAUAUAAAUUCUGGGGAGGAAACAGACAGGGACACAUUUGCCUUGGAGUUAAGUGAUGGGGCCCAUCUAAUUCCUGUACUGUUCACUAUAAAUAUCCGCUCUGUCGAUGACGAAGCCCCUGUUCUUACAGGAACACUCUCAAACACCUUGGAGAUCGAUUUGGAGGUCAAUGAAGGUCAAUCUGUGACUUUAGCAGCCGAUAGGUUCCGAGCGUCUGAUCCGGAUUCUGAUGACCUUACUUUGAUAUUUAUGAUAGAAACUGCCCCGACAAGUGGAGCAAUUUUGAAAUCAGGCCAAAGGGCCACCGACUUUACCCAGCAAGAUUUACAAGACGGUGUUGUCAUGUACCAACAUCUGGGAGGGGAGAUCGGGGCAGAUGCAAGUCGGGAUCGCUUUUCUCUUAUUCUGUCAGAUCGCUCAAGAAAUUUUAUGGUAGAAGGCAACAGGGUAGCGGAAAUCGAGGUGAUUGUGAAAGUUAUGCCGGUUGACAAUCAACCCCCUAAUGUGUUGUUGGGUGCUCAAUUUGGAGUUUUGGAAGGGGAGAAGGAGGCAAUAUUGCCUCGUCACGUCGACGCCAUGGAUGAUGAUUCUGCUGAUGAGAAACUGCAGUGUACAGUAUUAGUUCAGCCCCAGUAUGGUUACAUAGAGAAUUUCUCCCCUGCCCCCGGGUCAGAGAAAUCUAGGGUAGGGAUGCCAGUGACCUCUUUCUUCAUCAAGGAACUGAGAGUAGGUAACGUAAACUAUGUACAGAGUAUACACCGGGGGGUAGAGGAAUAUCGGGAUUCCUUCACUUUCUACUGCUCUGACGGUAUCAACUCUUCACCCGACUACAACUUCAAUAUCUCUAUCUACCCCACGAACGACGAGCCGCCACAAGUAUUUGACAGAGAGUUUGUAGUGAUGGAAGGGCUAGAAAUGAAAAUUGACACCCCAAUCUUGACCGCUGUUGAUCAGGAUGUCCCACCCGAUGAAAUCAUUUUUAUCGUGACCGUUCCUCCAAAACAUGGCCAGAUUUUACAGCAGCGUGGCCUGAUGGGUACAUUUCCUGUCGCUCAAUUCUCUAUGACGGACAUUGACGGCUCGUCAAACAUAAUGUACAAACACGAUGAUUCGGAAACAACUGAAGAUGCAUUUGAGCUUGUGGCAACGGAUGGGAGAUUUAAUGUUACAAAGAAAAUACCCAUAGCCAUCAUCCCUGUGGACGAUGAAACGCCCCGAUUAUCUGUCAAUACUGGGAUAGAAAUUGAAACAGUGGGGGAAAAGAAAAUGAUUUCCAAUUCAGUCCUUAGGGCAGAAGACUUGGAUUCUCCUGACCCCAAUAUCACUUUCAUUAUUCGCCGCAUGCCAAAACAGGGAAUGUUAUUGUUGGAUAAGGUCGGAUUACCAGAACAAAACUUGACCUUGGGGUCAAAGUUCACUCAGUAUGACAUUGAUAACCAGUGUGUAUUUUACAUUCACACUGGAUUAGAGGGCAGAAGGGACAUCAUAAAAUUUGAGAUUACAGAUGGACUAAAUCCUCUUGUAGACCGAUACUUCUAUGUCACUGUCGCUGGUUUGGAUCUCAUUUACCCAGAGGUCAUAAACAAAGGUUUACGACUACCAGAAGGAGGCUCUGUUGUCUUGACUACUGACAUCAUCAGCGGUAGGGAUUCAAAUUCUCCUGAUGAAGACCUUGUUUUUACCAUUACCAACGUUCCUCAGCAUGGAUAUCUCGAGAACCUUGACAAUCCCGGGGUUCCAAUUACUACAUUCACACAGAUUGAUCUAGCAGGUUACAAAAUUCGCUAUACCCAUACCAGCGAAAGUGAGGUCAAGAUGGACCGGUUCGAGUUUGAGGUUACAGAUGGCACCAAUCCUGUGACCAGGAUGUUUCGUAUUGCCCUGACAGAUGUUGACAACAAGAAGCCAGUGCUUAUGUUUGGGACUCUUCUCGUAAUGGAGGGAGCUAACAAACUUAUUACACCCUUCGAACUGAAGACUAUUGACAAGGAUACUCCGAGUCACAGCAUUGAGUAUACUCUCACUCAGAUUCCUCUCCAUGGAAACAUCUUGUAUGAUCACUCGCGGAUUGUAACGAUGUUUACGCAAGAGGACAUAGAAUUAAACAAAAUCAGUUACCAACACGACGGUUCAGAAACGCUAUCGGACAGUAUCUCCUUCACGGUGACAGACGGUACGCACAGCGAUUUCUACAUUUUUCUGGAGACUGAGCGAUCUCUCCGUCACCCCCAGACCCUCCCCAUCGAAAUUCUUCCUGUGGAUAACGCUGUGCCCCACCUCACCAUCAACCUUGGUGCGACUUCCCUCACACCCGUACUUGGAGGAGGCUGGGGUUUCACGUUUGACAGCAAUGUUCUGCAGUGUGAUGACCGAGACAGCUCUGCGGACAAUCUAGUUUAUGAACUGACCGUCUAUCCUCAGUGGGGUCAUCUGGUACACAUGGGGAAACAUCAAAGUAACAUCUCGACCUGGACACAAGUUGACAUCGACCAGCGUGAGAUCCGGUAUGUCCUGGCCAAGGGAGCAACAGUCACUAGCGAUAUCUUCUUCUUCAAAGUCACAGACCAAGGUGGUAACGAGCUGUCCAAUCAACCGUUCCAUCUGAACUGGUGCUGGAUAUCAUUCAGUAGUGACCGUUACAAUGUCAGCGAGACACAAGACAUAUUCGAGGUCACACUUCAGCGCACAGGAUAUCUCAGUGAAACAUCAUUUAUCACCAUCACUGCCGAGAACGGGACAGCCAGGAUCGGAGAAGACAUCCGAGAUUGGUUCACCCCACAAGUUCAGUUCAACCCAGGUCAAAAGGUCAAGACAUGGCGGCUCCACCUACAUGAUGAUGACAGAUUUGAAGGUCCAGAGAAGUUCACUCUUCAACUCAGCAAUCCUGUCAUGGCCGCCUUACAGCUUCCUGUCACAUCCAUAGUAACGAUUCAGGAUCCUGAAGAUGAGUCGGUGGUUUCCUUCCCGGAGCAAGAGUUCCGAGUGGCAGAGAACAUCGGGGAAGUUUUAGUUCCUGUCCAUCGGACAGGUGAUCUCACUAACGAGCUCAUGGUCAUCUGUGCUACCAAUACAGGGUCUGCCACGGGUACCCCGCUGACCCCAAAUUAUCCUGCCAUGGAGGUGACAUCAGGAUCGGACUAUAUUUCAAGGCCUGUGCACCACUCCAGUAUAAUCCGGUUUGACCAUGGUCAGCGGGAGAAGUUUUGUACAUUGACCAUCAUUGACGAUUCUCUGUACGAGAUGGAGGAGACCCUAGAGGUCGUACUGAUGGACAUAUUUGGGGGUCGUCUUGGGACGGUCACGAACAUGCAUGUUGUUAUAGAACCGGACCCAGAUGAUGAACCUGUGUUCCACUUUGAACAUGCCAAAUAUACUGUUGACGAGAGUCAAAGAGAGGCUGAGGUUGUGGUUUUGCGUACUGGGACCGACCUUAGCCGUCCUUCAAGUGUGACUGUACGGUCACGACGCACUGACCCUAAAUCUGCCGAGGCUGGCUUUGACUACAUCGCUGUGAACAAAAUUCUCGACUUUGCUCCGGGGGUGUCCGAGAACACACUGAGGAUCCGAAUUCUUGAUGACCUUGGCCGGCCAACCUUGGAGGGUCGAGAGACUUUCCUGGUAGUGCUGAGAAUGCCAAUGGGAGCCAGUCUGGCGUUACCAAGUACAGCUUCCAUCACCAUCGACGACUCGCAGUCUGAUCGCCCCUCCAUGGAGUUUGGCGAGGUACAAUACAUUAGCAGUGAGGAGGAGAAUAAGGUUACAGCCAUUAUUGUCCGUCAUGGAGACAUCAGUCACGGGUCAAGUGUUCGCUGUUACACUAGACAGGGGUCAGCUGAGGUCAGUCUGGACUUCAUAGAGCGGCCGGACACAGACGCUUCACUGGUCAUCUUUAGAGCAGGUGAGAGAGAAAAGCCCUGUGUAGUCAACAUUGUGGAUGACGAUAAAUUUGAAGUGACAGAAGAGCUCCGACUGGUUCUUGGCAGUCCAAACAGUGUGACAGCAGGCGGUGCCAACAUCGGUCUCCAGAACGACACUGUUAUUAAGAUUACGGACGCCAGUGACAAGCCAGUGAUCAAGUUUGCAGAGGACCAGUUCGUGGUGAACGAACCAAUCUUCAAAGAGGACAUAUCUAGACUGACUGUUCCGGUCAUUAGGUCAGGUGACCUGUCAGAGAGGUCAGAGGUCAGAGUGUUUACCAAGGAUGGGUCAGCAAGGGCUGGCCAGGACUAUAAUGGCUUUUCCAGAGUGCUGAUAUUUGAGGAAGGAAUGUCACGUUUGGAUGUGGAGGUGGAGAUUCUGUUUGAUGACAUGAAAGAGAAUCGAGAAGUGUUCACCAUACAUCUACGCCCUAACCACAACAUGGUGGCUGAAGUAAGGAGGAAUGCCAAGGCUAUGGUGUACGUGGAGGAGAAUAAGAAGAUCAUGGACGUCGUGUUUCCCACCCACCCCAUCGUUGUGUCACUCAGGGAUUACGACGAUCCCCUUGGUAACCAUGACAACCCUGUACAUGGAUACCCUGUCAUCUGUAUAACACCCUGUAACCCUAAACAUCCUGACUUCGCCACAUCGACAGGAACACUGUGUCAGACUCAGGAAAUCAACGAUACACUUACAAAGUUCCACUGGAAAGUGGCUCCCCCUAGUGGUCCUGACGGUAUCACAAAGCCUCUUCGGGAACUGGAAGCAUCGACAUUCUUCGCCUCAACAAGGGGAAUAACUCUGGACAGCAUAUACUUCAACAGAGGAAGUAAAGUGCAGUGUCUGGCGCGUGCCGUCAACUUUGAUGGUGAUCCAGGGCGGGAGAUUGAGAGUGUCCCAGUUACUAUUAGUACUGACGAGGGACUCUGUCCUCCCAGGAACCCAGCCUCCAUCGGGUCCGAGCCGUUCAGCAGCCGUCUUAGAUACCUAGGUCCGAGUGACCCUGUCCAUCCUAACAUGGUACGGGUUACCAUAACGAUUCCUCACCACGACGGACUACUUCCUGUGCUGUCCACUCGUCAGCUCUCAAACUUCGAUUUCAUACUUACCCAUAAUGCACUGCGUGUGGCACAACACAAGUGCUCCAACCUGCUGGACAUCAGUGAUCUUCAAGUGACCUCUGGGUUUGGCUUUGUAUCCAAUGAUACCAGGAACCGUAACUCUCUAGGACUAGAGCCGUACCAGUUUAGCUCAACACUGAGGGGUGAUUCAACACUGAGGUUCUACAGGAACUUAGACUUGGAGUCGUGCCUGUGGGAGUUUGAUGGCUAUUUUGACAUGUCCGAGCUUGUGUCGGUAUGCGGAGGAGAAAUCUCCACAGAUGGGCAGGAUCCUUGUACCCAACUAGUCUACGUAUCCAGGACGACAAACGAUUGAUGGUGACGAUCAGGACUACACCCAACUUCAGGGGCCAGUUUGUCCCUAGUAACUCAGGCACAGGUGUUGUUUCCAUGGUUACCUCUCCUGAUCAUCCAGAUAUGACCUUCACUUUGACCCUGGUCAGGAGUGACCCUACAUUUGACCAGCCCAAUCAGCUGUGGCAGUUUGAAUCGGACUUUGCAGUGAAGGACUACUCCGGGCUGUACCACGUCUCACUGAUCCCCUGCACCGCUGCCAUCUCACAGCCCUACACACUUCCUCCUGUCUGUAACCCCACUGACCCCAUCACCUUUGACCUCCCAAUCAGAUUUCAGCAGACCAGCGAUCCAGUUCCUUCACAAUAUUCACUCAACACGGACUUCAGUCUUUACAACAAACGUUCCCUGUGGUUGUCCCCCGACACUCCUACACUGGGGGACAAGUCUGGCACGACCUUCUCUCCAGG